ensembl:lncRNA
GCUGCACUGAAAAAAAGGGACUGGCCAUCUCUUGGAUUUAUGUGAAGUAAGUCAAUAAGAUAGCAACGUUAAAUCUCGUGAAACCACGCGUGAUUUCAUCUCGCGGGCUUUGGAUCGUGGUUUAAAAAAGGCAUCCAUCUCAGUCAAGUCGAGCAGCCAACUCUACGUUUUUGACGACCUCUAUUCUGCAUUUCACCAGGAGUCAGCUGAUGGAUUGUGGGUUCAAGGUGUUAUGAUAAAAUGCAGCAUUCCAGUGCAUCCCAACCAUGCCUUUACAGUCAAGGUUUCUGACGGAGCUGAGUUUUUCUCUGACAGUCUGCUGAAAGUGUUUGCAAAGUGAUCGGGGGAACAGGGCACAAAGCUAAAGGAUGUAGCUGCCAUAAUGACAGAUGACAUUAAUGCUCGGAGUCCCUCAUCAAAGUGCUCCGCAUCUGUGUGAAAGACAAUUGCAACAUCUUGGUGCAGGAGUUCAUGGACUUGCCUGAGGCCACUGCACAGAUUGAGAAAACCACAAUGAACAUCUGUCUCCAGAGAUGCGCCAGGCAAUGACUUUUCUGAUGUUGUUCUUCAAGAUCUGGAUAACGUGACCUUUGCAGUAGCCAUGCUGUUUGGACCUUUUUUAUUCCUUCAACAUGAGUUACCCAUCACAACUCUGCUACACUUUUGAGGUGAUUCAAUGGGUGGUAAUGGAGUUGGAUGCAACUCAGCUCUCAAGAAAAGCUCACAACUAAGACAAAACUGCUCCUGCAACGAAGCUCACUGUUAUGCAUGUGAGGUGACCAGCUCUAGGUGAGAGGACAUUUAAAUCUCACACUUGUUCUGCUGCAUUUUUGAAGCUCAAU